rnacentral:rRNA from 1 species
UACGGGGGGUGCGAGCGUUGUCCGGAAUCACUGGGCGUAAAGGGCGCGUAGGUGGCGUGAUAAGGGUGUGGUGAAAGCCCGGGGCUCAACCCCGGGUCUGCCAUGCCGACUGUCAGGCUAGAGUACUGUAGGGGCAGGCGGAAUUCCGGGUGUAGCGGUGGAAUGCGUAGAGAUCCGGAGGAAGACCGGUGGCGAAGGCGGCCUGCUGGGCAGUUACUGACACUGAGGAGCGAAAGCGUGGGGAGCGAACAGG